CUGAGUAUGAGCAUCAGCAGAAAACACUCAGUCUAAACCUCUUUGUUCUUCUCUUGCAGAGCUUGCUUGCAAAGCUGUUCUGACCACAAUGGGCGUUUUGGGCCCCUGUUUACAGGCUCCAUGUUCUGUAGCCAUAGGGGCACCACGUCUUCCUCUGCUAAGCUGCUGUUUGCUGCUGCCUUUCAGAAAUUGAGGCCAAGUAUGAUAAGAAGAUGAAGAUGCUGAGGGACGAGCUCGACCUGCGGAGAAAGACUGAGCUCCAUGAAGUGGAGGAGAGGAAGAAUGGCCAGAUCAACACGCUGAUGCAGCGCCACGAGGAGGCCUUCACUGACAUUAAGAACUACUACAAUGACAUCACCCUCAACAACCUGGCCCUCAUCAACUCCCUCAAGGAGCAGAUGGAGGACAUGCGGAAGAAGGAGGACCACCUGGAGAGGGAGAUGGCAGAGGUGUCUGUGCAGAACAAGCGCCUGGCAGACCCUCUCCAGAAGGCUCGGGAGGAGAUGAGCGAGAUGCAGAAGCAGCUGGCAAACUACGAGAGGGACAAGCAGAUCCUGCUUUGCACAAAAGCCCGUUUGAAAGUCACGGAGAAGGAGCUGAAAGACCUGCAGUGGGAGCAUGAAGUGUUAGAGCAACAAUUCACCAAGGUGCAGCAGGAGCGGGAUGAGCUUUAUCGGAAGUUCACUGCAGCCAUCCAGGAGGUGCAGCAGAAGACAGGCUUCAAGAACCUGGUGCUAGAACGCAAGCUGCAGGCUCUGAGCGCUGCUGUGGAGAAGAAGGAGGUGCAGUUCAACGAGGUCCUGGCUGCCUCUAACCUGGACCCUGCAGCCCUGACGCUGGUGUCCCGCAAGCUUGAG
rnacentral:sRNA from 1 species